ACAGGGACGGGAGCCGAGAGGGCCAUCUGAAGGGAGACACUGGGCUGUGGGAGCCACACGCAGGGAGGGUCGAAGUCAUGAUCCCCCCGCAGGAGGCGUCCGCUCGGCGGCGGGAGAUCGAGGACAAGCUGAAACAGGAGGAGGAGACGCUGUCCUUCAUCCGAGACAGCCUGGAGAAGAGCGACCAGCUCACCAAGAACAUGGUGUCUAUCCUGUCAUCCUUUGAGAGUCGCCUUAUGAAGCUGGAGAACUCCAUCAUCCCUGUGCACAAGCAGACGGAGAACCUGCAGCGGCUGCAGGAGAAUGUCGAGAAGACCCUGUCCUGCCUGGACCACGUCAUCAGCUACUAUCACGUGGCCAGUGACACUGAGAAGAUCAUCAGGGAGGGGCCCACAGGUAGGCUAGAGGAGUACCUGGGAAGCAUGGCCAAGAUUCAGAAGGCUGUGGAGUAUUUCCAGGACAAUAGUCCAGACAGCCCAGAGCUCAACAAAGUGAAGCUGCUAUUUGAGCGGGGGAAGGAGUCACUGGAGUCCGAGUUCCGCAGCCUGAUGACCCGGCACAGCAAGGUGGUGUCCCCAGUGCUCAUCCUGGAUCUGAUCGGUGGUGAGGAGGACCUGGAGCUCCAGGAGGAGGUGCCCCUGGAGCACCUGCCCGAGAGCGUGCUGCAUGACGUGGUCCGCAUCUCCCGAUGGCUGGUGGAGUACGGCCGCAACCAAGAUUUCAUGAACGUCUACUACCAGAUCCGCUCUAGCCAGCUGGACCGCUCCAUCAAAGGCCUGAAGGAGCAUUUCCGGAAGAGCAGUUCUUCCUCCGGGGUCCCCUACUCCCCCGCCAUCCCCAACAAGAGGAAAGACACACCCACCAAGAAGCCAGUCAAGCGGCCAGGGACGAUCCGUAAGGCUCAGAACCUUCUGAAACAAUAUUCCCAGCAUGGUCUAGAUGGGAAAAAGGGGGGCUCUAACCUCAUUCCUCUGGAAGGUCACGAGCAUGAUUUCCGAGUUAAGCACCUGUCCGAGGCCCUGAACGACAAGGCCGGGCCGUUGGCCGGGAGAGACGACAUGCUGGACGUGGAAACCGAUGCCUACAUUCACUGCGUCAGUGCCUUUGUCAAGCUGGCCCAGAGCGAGUACCAGCUGCUGACGGACGUCAUCCCUGAGCACCAUCAGAAAAAGACCUUCGACUCUUUGAUACAGGACGCUCUGGACGGGCUCAUGCUCGAAGGCGAGAACAUUGUGGUGGCUGCCCGCAAGGCCAUCAUCCGACACGACUUCUCGGCUGUGCUCACCGUCUUCCCCAUUCUGCGGCACCUCAAGCAGACCAAGCCUGAGUUUGACCAGGUGCUCCAGGGCACGGCCGCCAGCACCAAGAACAAGCUGCCCAGCCUCAUCACCUCCAUGGAGACCGUGGGAGCCAAAGCGCUGGAGGACUUCGCCGACAACAUCAAGAACGACCCAGACAAGGAAUACAACAUGCCCAAGGACGGCACCGUGCACGAGCUCACGAGCAACGCCAUCCUCUUCCUGCAGCAGCUCCUGGACUUCCAGGAGACAGCGGGUGCCAUGCUGGCCUCCCAAGAGACCAGUUCCUCCGCCACCAGCUACAGCUCUGAGUUCAGCAAGCGUCUGCUGAGCACCUACAUCUGUAAAGUCCUGGGCAACCUGCAGUUGAACCUGCUGAGCAAGUCCAAGGUGUAUGAGGACCCGGCUCUGAGCGCCAUCUUCCUGCACAACAACUACAACUACAUCCUCAAGGCCCUGGAGAAGUCCGAGCUGAUCCAGCUGGUGGCUGUGACCCAGAAGACUGCUGAGCGCUCCUACCGGGAGCACAUAGAGCAACAGAUCCAGACCUACCAGCGCAGUUGGUUAAAGGUGACUGACUACAUUGCCGAGAAGAAUCUACCUGUGGUCCAACCUGGAGUCAAGCUUCGGGACAAGGAGCGGCAGAUGAUCAAGGAGCGUUUUAAGGGUUUCAACGAUGGCCUUGAGGAGUUGUGCAAGAUCCAGAAGGCCUGGGCGAUUCCCGACACGGAGCAGAGGGACAAGAUCCGCCAAGCCCAGAAGAGCAUCGUUAAGGAGGCCUACGGGGCCUUUCUAAGCAGGUAUGGCAGCGUGCCCUUCACCAAGAACCCGGAGAAGUACAUCAAGUACCGCGUGGAGCAGGUGGGGGACAUGAUCGAUCGCCUCUUUGACACCUCGGCCUGAGCGGCCGCUGCCCCUGCCUGGCUCUGCCAGAGCAGCUGUGUCACUGGACAGAUAAACAGGAAGGAGAGGUCGGGGUGGCCUGGGGUCCUCCAGGCUGAGGGGAGAGAGUCCACUUCCCUCCCCCUCCAGAGGCCCCGUCACAGCCCUCGCCCCCCACGUCUGCAGCCCCGGGCCCUGCCUGUUACAGCCUGGGCUGCCCGCCAUGGGGUGCAGCCGCUCCAGGGGCUGGGUCGGACUUGCACGUCGCCCACAUCCAGAGCACAAUGAAGAUGAACUGGCUACACGCCACCCCCACCACAUACACCUGGAAGAAGAUGUGGUCAGCAGCCUCAGCCCAGCUCCUCCUGGACCCCUUCCCUGCUCCGGGGGCUUCUGUGUGGACAGGAAGAGUAAAAGAAGACAUACUGCACGCUCUGCAUGUGCACAAGGGUGAACCCCAGAGAGUGCUAGUCUGUGUCCCCCUGCAUCAGAGUCACAGCUAAUGAACAUUCGGGUCUGGCCCCUUCUAGAUCAUUGUGAGUUGAAGAAAUGCCCUCUGAGACAGGCUGUACAAGGCACAGGGUUAUCCUGUGCUAAGUCACUUCAGUCGUGUCUGACUCUGUGUGACCCCACGGACUGUAUCCCACCAGGCUCCUCUGUCCAUGGGAUUCUCCAGGCAGGAAUACUGGAGUGGGUUGCCAUGCCCUCCUUCCCGACCCAGGGAUGGAACUCACGUCUCAUGUUUCCUGCAUUGGCAGGCGGGCUCUAUACCCCUAGUGCCACCUGGGAAGCCCAGGGAGUCUGAAGUCACUGGGCCUUAGGGAGGCUGAUUCUGCUCCCUGGUCCACACCUGCUGCUUCCAAGCGCAGCCACGGUGGAGUCCGGUCAGCGGAGCCGGCAGAGAUGGGUGCAGGAACCUCUAAAGAGCCCGGUGACCUGCAGCCCCAGUCUGCCAGCUCUGCCCCUAGGCCUGCUCCUCCACCCACCAGGAAGGGGCCCCAGCCCUGCCCACCUUCAGGGUUAGGCCCUGGCUUCCCAUGGUCUUGCUGCUCCCCAUUCAGCACUGGAUUGCAGCUGUCCUCUGCCCUGAGGUUGCCCCGGGCUAGGAGCCCGGCCAAUAGCACAGUCUCGGUGGUGCUGACAAAGAGCAGCAGCAGCAGGACGGUGAAGUAGUAAACUGGAGAGGGGGUGGAGAAGAGAGGUCAGGAGCCAGGCCUGGCCUCGCGGGCCCCGGGACCUGAGCAGAGGCCCCGGGCCGAGCGAGGGCAGGGGCCUUACCUAGCAGCGGGUUGCAGGAGGAGGAGCUGGGCAGGGCCUGCAUCAUGGAGGAGUGGAAGACAAGGUAGCUCAGAAGCAGGGUCACCUUGUAGGCGAUGCGCUCAGUCUGGAGGGGCAGCAGCCCCCCACACAGGUCAGCCAACAGCAGCGCCUCCCCGGGGACCAGGAGCGUUAAGAUGGCCUUUAGCGCUGUGUUCUGCAGGCGCAACUGGAAGGAAGACAGGGCGUUCCCGGGGUGGGGAUAGAACAGUGAGCUCAUGGCCUCUGGCUGUGCAUCCCCAACACCCUCCUCGGCCCUCGGUAGCCACCUCCCAACUCACCGUCACCUGGAAGCAGGGUACCAGCUGCUGGGAUGGGAUUUGGAUUUUCAGAUCCUGAACCAUGAACUCCCUCUUGACACUCACAAUCUCGUUCACCGCGUGGACUUGGAACUCCAGCUCCGUCACUGAAGCGGGAGGGGUGAGAAUGGUGAACUCAGAAAGAAAUACCCUGUGCCUCCAUGUCUCUUGGGAGUAGGGGCAGGGAUGGACUGGAGCCCGGGGAUGAUGGAGCCCUCAGAUGGUUGCUGGGGGCAGACUUGGAAGCUGGUCUGUCCAAGGGCUUUCCAAACUGAUUUUGCAAUACCCCAAGUUUUCUCCACUUAGAGGAAGGGCCAUCUCAGAGUCCUAAAAUGAAUUUUCAUUGUAAAAAUAAACGCACUUUGCACCACUUCA